rnacentral:rRNA from 1 species
GACGAACGCUGGCGGCGUGCUUAACACAUGCAAGUCGAACGGAAAGGCCCUAGUUUUGUGGGGUGCUCGAGUGGCGAACGGGUGAGUAACACGUGAGUAACCUGCCCUUGACUUUGGGAUAACUUCAGGAAACUGGGGCUAAUACCGGAUAGGAGCUCCUGCUGCAUGGGGGGGGUUGGAAAGUUUCGGCGGUUGGGGAUGGGCUCGCGGCUUAUCAGCUUGUUGGUGGGGUAGUGGCUUACCAAGGCUUUGACGGGUAGCCGGCCUGAGAGGGUGACCGGCCACAUUGGGACUGAGAUACGGCCCAGACUCCUACGGGAGGCAGCAGUGGGGAAUAUUGCACAAUGGGCGGAAGCCUGAUGCAGCAACGCCGCGUGCGGGAUGACGGCCUUCGGGUUGUAAACCGCUUUCGCCUGUGACGAAGCGUGAGUGACGGUAAUUGGUAAAGAAGCACCGGCUAACUACGUG